rnacentral:rRNA from 1 species
CGGGGGGGGCAAGCGUUGUUCGGAAUUACUGGGCGUAAAGGGCCAGUAGGCGGCCAACUAAGUCGGAUGUGAAAUCCCCAGGCCCAACCUGGGAACUGCAUCCGAUACUGGAUGGCUUGAAUUCGGGAGAGGGAUGCAGAAUUCCAGGUGUAGCGGUGAAAUGCGUAGAUAUCUGGAGGAAUACCGGUGGCGAAGGCGGCAUCCUGGACCGACAUUGACGCUGAACGGCGAAAGCUAGGGGAGCAAACGGGAUUAGAUACCCCGGUAGUCCUAGCCCUAAACGAUGAAUGCUUGGUGUAACGGGUAUCGAUCCCUGUUGUGCCGAAGCUAACGCAUUAAGCAUUCCGCCUGGGGAGUACGGUCGCAAGGCUG